AUUGAACGCUGGCGGCAGGCCUAACACAUGCAAGUCGAGCGGAUGAAGGGAGCUUGCUCCUGGAUUCAGCGGCGGACGGGUGAGUAAUGCCUAGGAAUCUGCCUGGUAGUGGGGGAUAAUGUCCGGAAACGGGCGCUAAUACCGCAUACGUCCUGAGGGAGAAAGUGGGGGAUCUUCGGACCUCACGCUAUCAGAUGAGCCUAGGUCGGAUUAGCUAGUUGGUGGGGUAAAGGCCUACCAAGGCGACGAUCCGUAACUGGUCUGAGAGGAUGAUCAGUCACACUGGAACUGAGACACGGUCCAGACUCCUACGGGAGGCAGCAGUGGGGAAUAUUGGACAAUGGGCGAAAGCCUGAUCCAGCCAUGCCGCGUGUGUGAAGAAGGUCUUCGGAUUGUAAAGCACUUUAAGUUGGGAGGAAGGGCAGUAAGUUAAUACCUUGCUGUUUUGACGUUUCCAACAGAAUAAGCACCGGCUAACUUCGUG
rnacentral:rRNA from 1 species